rnacentral:rRNA from 1 species
AGUGAACGCUGGCGGUAGGCCUAACACAUGCAAGUCGAACGGCAGCACAGUAAGAGCUUGCUCUUACGGGUGGCGAGUGGCGGACGGGUGAGGAAUACAUCGGAAUCUACUUUUUCGUGGGGGAUAACGUAGGGAAACUUACGCUAAUACCGCAUACGUCCUACGGGUGAAAGCAGGGGAUCUUCGGACCUUGCGCGAUUGAAUGAGCCGGUGUCGGAUUAGCUAGUUGGCGGGGUAAAGGCCCACCAAGGCAACGAUCCGUAGCUGGUCUGAGAGGAUGAUCGGCCACACUGGAACUGAGACACGGUCCAGACUCCUACGGGAGGCAGCAGUAGGGAAUAUUGGACAAUGGGCGCAAGCCUGACCCAGCCAUACCGCGUGGGUGAAGAAGGCCUUCGGGUUGUAAAGCCCUGUUGUUGGGAAAGAAAAACAGCAGGUUAAUACCCCGCUGUUCUGACGGUACCCAAAGAAUAAGCACCGGCUAACUUCGUG